rnacentral:rRNA from 1 species
UGCAUGUCUAAGUACAUGCCGUAUUAAGGCGAAACCGCGAAUGGCUCAUUAAAUCAGUUAUGGUUCCUUGGAUCGUACCUUACUACUUGGAUAACUGUGGCAAUUCUAGAGCUAAUACAUGCAGCAGAGCUCCGACCUUCGGGGACGAGCGCUUUUAUUAGACCAAAACCAAUCGGACCUCGUGUCCGUCUCUUGUGGUGACUCUGUAUAACUUUGGGCUGAUCGCACGGGCCCGUCCCGGCGACGUAUCUUUCAAGUGUCUGCCUUAUCAACUUUCGAUGGUAGGUUACGCGCCUACCAUGGUCGUAACGGGUAACGGGGAAUCAGGGUUCGAUUCCGGAGAGGGAGCCUGAGAAACGGCUACCACAUCCAAGGAAGGCAGCAGGCGCGCAAAUUACCCACUCCCAGAACGGGGAGGUAGUGACGAAAAAUAACAAUACGGAACUCUUUUGAGACUCCGUAAUUGGAAUGAGUACACUUUAAAUCCUUUAACGAGGAUCCAUUAGAGGGCAAGUCUGGUGCCAGCAGCCGCGGUAAUUCCAGCUCUAAUAGCGUAUAUUAAAGUUGUUGCGGUUAAAAAGCUCGUAGUUGGAUCUCAGUUCCAGACGGAUGGUCCGCCUACCGGUGGUUACUGUCUGUUCUGAACAGCCAGCCGGUUUCUCUUGAUGAUCUUUACCGGUUGUCUUGGGUGACCGGCAAGUUUACUUUGAAAAAAUUAGAGUGCUCAAAGCAGGCGUGACGCCUGAAUAAUGGUGCAUGGAAUAAUGGAAUAGGACCUCGGUUCUAUUUUGUUGGUUUUCGGAACACGAGGUAAUGAUUAAGAGGGACAGACGGGGGCAUUCGUAUUGCGACGCUAGAGGUGAAA